UGGGGAAUAUUGGACAAUGGGCGAAAGCCUGAUCCAGCAAUGCCGCGUGGAUGAAGAAGGUCUUCGGAUUGUAAAGUCCUUUCGGCGGGGACGAUGAUGACGGUACCCGCAGAAGAAGCCCCGGCUAACUUCGUGCCAGCAGCCGCGGUAAUACGAAGGGGGCUAGCGUUGCUCGGAAUGACUGGGCGUAAAGGGCGCGUAGGCGGUUUGGACAGUUGGGCGUGAAAUUCCUGGGCUUAACCCGGGGGCUGCGCUCAAUACAUCCAGGCUUGAGUGAGGAAGAGGGUCGUGGAAUUCCCAGUGUAGAGGUGAAAUUCGUAGAUAUUGGGAAGAACACCGGUGGCGAAGGCGGCGACCUGGUCCUUUACUGACGCUGAGGCGCGAAAGCGUGGGGAGCAAACAGGAUUAGAUACCCUGGUAGUCCACGCCGUAAACGAUGUGUGCUGGAUGUUGGGCGACCUAGUCGCUCAGUGUCGUAGCUAACGCGGUAAGCACACCGCCUGGGGAGUACGGCCGCAAGGUUG
rnacentral:rRNA from 1 species